rnacentral:rRNA from 1 species
UACGGAGGGGGUUAGCGUUGUUCGGAAUUACUGGGCGUAAAGCGCACGUAGGCGGAUUGUUAAGUCAGGGGUGAAAUCCCGGGGCUCAACCUCGGAACUGCCUUUGAUACUGCGAGUCUCGAGACCGGGAGAGGUGAGUGGAAUUCCUAGUGUAGAGGUGAAAUUCGUAGAUAUUAGGAGGAACACCGGUGGCGAAGGCGGGUCGCUGGGUAGUAACUGACGCUGAGAAGCGAAAGGGUGGGUAGCGAACAGG